UUUGCUUAAAUAACCUACUUUUUAUUGGAUGGCAUGGAAAUGCUGAAAACACUUCUGUCUUCCUCACAAAUGUACUAAUUCCUUGAAUUUGUAUGUUCUUGAAUCCUGGAUUGUACUUCUUUAGGGCUGGGUGAAAAUCCAGUCAUGUUAUUAAUAAUUCAUCUGUACAUCAGCCACAGCCCUAUCUGGCAAGAAGCUGUGUGCUAGUAUUUUGAGUGAUUGUUUUGAAAAUCCUGCUGUGGUGAAUGAUAAACAUACAGCAUAACCACUAGUUUAAGCGUCGCCAUAGAUGAAAAAAGUAGAUACCAAACAUUCCUUUUGCUUUUUCAUCCUUUGCUGUAAAUUGUUUAUCCUUGAAGAGAAAUACGGAAAUCUUGACUGUUUGCCCAGAUUUGCAGCUGGUCUCUAAAGGGAGAAAAAUGUUAAGCUCAACAGUGAAUUUGGAAGUUGCUCUGCUGGCACCAUCUAUCUAUCCGAUGGCUUAGCGCAGUGCUGUGUGGUGCAGUAAGCGAGCUUCGGCUUCAGUGUGUUGGGAUGCCAGUAAAAGAAUGAAGUUUUUCUUGGCCUGGAGCAGAAGUGUGUAUUGACAGAGUCUUGGUAUCUGUGCUGCUAUAGAAGGAUCAGCACUUGCUAAAUGGCUGUGGGCUGGAUGAGGAACAUGCUUUACUGUUGUCCCCUGUUGUACCUCCAAAGCAAACUGGCAUCAUAAUGCUGCUGGAAGAGAAAGCUCCUGCUGUUCAUAUUCGUAUUGUUCAGUGAGACCUCGGACUCAUACACAUGGAUACUCUGUCUGAUGCCUUGCACAGACAGAAUAUUUUGGUAGGCUGAUCAACAUUCGUUUUACCUACGUAGAUGCUUGGCUUAUGAUGUUUUUGUAGAUAUUUUCACUUAUUCAACUGGAUUUUCACAAUGGAAAACGUGGAAACUUCAGGAAAAAGAACAAUGAAACUAUUUGCUUUGUACUUCAAACUUACUACAGUGUGGUAAGUGAAUGCUUGAAGCUAUACAAUUGGGUUCAAAAGCAUUCAAAUAAUAAUAAGCCUUAAGUAUUCAUGAAUCUCAAAUACAUUAACUUGAGUGAUUGUCUGUUUGCGUUGCCCUCAUAAUCUUUUGUUUUCCUGUUGCUCGGACACAAUAAGUGUUUUGAGUGAGAGAGAAGAUGAUCAGAUUAUGGUGCAAAACAAAUUUCAUGUAGUGACCAGCUGCACAUCAUUAAUGGGAAGGAGUGAAGUGUUGAACAGUUUUUAUGUAAAUACAGGAAUUGAUUGCAUAAGCUCUCUUGUGUCUAAAUGCAAUUAAUAAAUGCUUUUGGAAAUGUAAAAAAGAUCGCAAAGCCAAGAGUCAGUGUGGAUUGGAAACACCAAAGUUUCUGUCAACCACUCAGGAACUGAAUGUUAUUUCAAAAAAUAGAAAUGAAAGUGAUAUAAUGACAAUUUGGGAGGGAUGUUAAUGAAGAAAAAGAAGCCAAGUUACUUACUUGAUCUGAUAGCAAACUAUUACUACUUGAUCUGAUUGCAAACCAUCUGGCAAUAUGCUGCCAAAUCAUUAUGUAUCCUUUGUAUGACUCAGUGCUAAUGAGCUGUGCAGGGAUUAUGCAGAUUUCUUGUGCUUUUGGCUGUGGUAGAAGGUUUUAAAAAUAACACUUGCAAUAUUAGUAUGACAUGUACUUGCUAAGAAUUUCUGACAUUAAUCCAAACUUUGUUUUUUCAUUAGAAAAUACCCCAACCACUUCAAAGACAGUCCAAAUUUUGAUUUUUAUGUGAACAAAAACAAGAAAACGGACAAAUAUCAGUAUUCUUUAUACUAACAGUACAAAGUGAUUUUUAUGAAGAUAGUUAUGAAGAUAGAGCAAAAUUCAAAAUGCAAGUGAGAUGAAUGCGUUUAACUCUCGUUGAUCUCCUGGUGGACUUUUCCAAAACAAUAAACUCAUCUGAAUCUUUAUAGUUAUGGAUGGCUGUCUUCCUUAAAAUAAAUAAAUAAUCCUUUGAGCAUGGGUUGGAUUCAUGAUUCAGUGGAUGAAAUAUGGAUUGUCAUGCAAGAGAUCUGAUUUUCAUAGUGUCACAUUAAAGUGCCUAUAGUGUUUGGAACAUGCUGAGAGAUUCAAAUUCUAUGAGCUCAAAAGGUGAUGAAACUAAAGCAACAGUGAACAUAGGCAAUGCUGGUAAAUGGGUUUUGACAGCUUGUCUGACUACCUGAGCUAUGCUAGUAUCAUUUUACAGAGAAUUCUAGCUGGGACAAAAAAAAUAUGAAAUAUUUGGCCCUUUCUGAAAUUUACCACGCUUACCAAUCUUACUUCUAAGUCAGGCAUGAUGUACAGGAAUGAUUAUUAGUAAGCAUUUCGUAGUUUUGUUUGGUUUUCCCUUUCUCUCAAAUCAGUAAACAACCUUGUCUAUAGCUUGUGGACAUUGGGGGGCACUAUAGCCUCACUAAACAAUUCAAAUACCUUCUAUCUUAAAUUUUGCUAUGUUGGCUAAGCUUCUUUUCUCCAUGUAGUGUAACUAUCUAAGGCAAGUGGAAAAACAAACAAACAAACAAAAAAUCCAGAAGUAAUAGCUAUGUUUCUUUUCCUUCAUUUAUUUAUUUUUGUUAGUAAUUGUCUUGCUCUAAAUAGCAGUAGAUUUCUGACCAAGAACUGAUGUUGCUUAGUUUAAGGAACUCUUUGUUUCGAGUGCUAAUCUACAGAUUCUCUGUGAAUCUUUCUACAGCAAAUGGGAAAAUGUGCUUUGCAUCCAAUCUGCUUUUGUGUGUUUGUGUCCCAGCCAUUUGUAAUGAAGUUGUCCACUAAUGUAAAAAGCACGUUUUAGACCAGUGUAGUUUAUUCUCAUUUACUUCAGUUUGAAAUGAUUUCUGAGUUAAGAAAUGUUUUUCAUUGGUGACAUAGCUAACAUGGAUACUGCUAUAUACUUCUGUGAAUGAAAAAUCUCCUCUAAGUAGUUUACUUUUUAGGACACAAUUUAGUCUAUCUAAUUGGAUUUUAAUCUUCAUGUUACAAAAUUUAUUACAGAUUGGGAGAUAUGUACACCACAUUCAAAUUUAAUGUAUUACUGGUAUAAGGUAUACAAGUACCUCUUCUAGCUGCAGUAUCUGUUUUUUUUUUCCUUGGGUUAAAUGUAUUGUACAGAACAAAAUAUUCAAAUUGUAGAUAACUACAAGCAUUUUUUAUUAGUUUAAUUUUGCCAAUAGACAGAUAAUGCCUUUUGAAAACUGACUGGCCAUAUGGUUUUAACUAGUGUGGGACAGAAUAAACAAAUAAAAAGGAAUACAACAUUUGGAUUAAUCUUUUUUUUUUCUUUUCUUCAGUUCAUGGCUGUAUUUGAAACAAAAGUACAGAACUAAGUUUUGCAGUUGUUUCAGAAUGUCUAAUAGUAGAGCAAUGUCCAGUCAGUCUCCAAGCAGUGGCCACAAUGGAAAUCAGAACCACCUCCUCCUUUUCUUCCUCCAACCCAGUUUUUUUUGUGGAGAAUGAGGUUACAUGGUAUGAAAUAUCUCCUUGGCCAGUUCAGGUCAGGGUUUGCAGCUGUGCUCCCUCCCAACUUCUUGCUCAGUGUUGGGAUGUGCUGGGUGGAAGGAUGGCAGCAGAUGGGCUCCUAUGAAGAAAGUUAACUCCAUCCUGGCCAGACCCAACACACCAAGUCUU